AUUGAACGCUGGCGGCAGGCCUAACACAUGCAAGUCGAGCGAGUGGCGGACGGGUGAGUAAUGUAUGGGGAUCUGCCCGAUCGAGGGGGAUAACUACUGGAAACGGUGGCUAAUACCGCAUACUAUCGGAUGAACCCAGAUGGGAUUAGCUAGUAGGUGGGGUAAAGGCUCACCUAGGCGACGAUCACUAGCUGGGCUGAGAGUAGGACCAGCCACACGGGGACUGAGACACGGUCCAGACUCCUACGGGAGGGAGCAGUGGGGGAUAUUGCACAAGGGGAGCAUGCCUGAUGCAGCCAUGCCGCGUGUGUGAAGAAGGCCGUAGGAUUGUAAAGUACUUGCAGUUGGGAGGCGUUACCCGCAGAAUAAGCACCGGCUAACUCCGUGCCAGCAGCCGCGGUAAUAC
rnacentral:rRNA from 1 species